UCCCUGGGGGUUCAGUGGUUAUGACUCUGAGCUUCCAAUGCAGGGGGUCCAGGUUUGAUCCCUGGUCAGGGAA
rnacentral:tRNA from 1 species